GGUAGUGGGGGUUUAGAGAUCGAGAGAGGGAGAAGUGAAGAGCGAGAGUGGAGGUUUAGAGAUCGAGAGAGGGAGACGUGAAGAGAGAGGUAGUGGGGGUUUAGAGAUCGAGAGAGGGAGAAGUGAAGAGAGAGGUAGUGGGGGUUUAGAGAUCGAGAGAGGGAGAAGUGAAGAGAGAGGUAGUGGAGGUUUAGAGAUCGAGAGAGGGAGAAGUGAAGAGAGAGGUAGUGGAGGUUUAGAGAUCGAGAGAGGGAGAAGUGAAGAGAGAGAUUAAAGUGGUGGCUACAGAGACAGAAAGAGAAAGAUGUAGAGACUUUUUGUGAGAGAGCGUGCAAUUUCAUUAUGUCUGCUGUAGCCCAUACCAAAUAUGGAGUGCUUGCCCCCCACUCACCUCAAAUUACCUUACCUUUUAAUGUCUGGUAUUAC
ensembl:lncRNA